rnacentral:misc_RNA from 1 species
GAUGAAGAACGUAGCGAAAUGCGAUAAGUAGUGUGAAUUGCAGAAUUCAGUGAAUCAUCGAAUCUUUGAACGCACAUUGCGCCUUCUGGUAUUCCGGGAGGCAUGCCUGUCCGAACGUCAUCAAGCCCCUCGCCUGCAUCUGUGCUUGCAACCGAAGCCUGGGCGGCACAUGGCAGAUGGCCGCCUCCUGGUGGCCACUGCCGAAAUGUAUCGGCAGACCCUGCAUGGCUGUGAUUGUGAUAAGAUUUUACUUACAAUUGCUAUGCUGACAGGCGUCUUGCCACAAGCAUCCGGGAGGUCCUCCACGGGAUCUCUUGGUAAACCAAAUCUUUUGACUUCGGAUCAGGUAGGGAUACCCGCUGAACUUAAGCAUAUCAAUAAGCGGAGGA